UAGGGAAUCUUCCACAAUGGGCGCAAGCCUGAUGGAGCAACACCGCGUGAGUGAAGAAGGGUUUCGGCUCGUAAAGAUCUGUUGUUAAAGAAGAACACGUAUGAGAGUAACUGUUCAUACGUUGACGGAAUUUAACCGGAAAGUCACGGCUAACUACGUG
rnacentral:rRNA from 1 species